GAUGAACGCUGGCGGCGUGCCUAAUACAUGCAAGUCGAGCGAACGGACGAGAAGCUUGCUUCUCUGAUGUUAGCGGCGGACGGGUGAGUAACACGUGGAUAACCUACCUAUAAGACUGGGAUAACUUCGGGAAACCGGAGCUAAUACCGGAUAAUAUUUUGAACCGCAUGGUUCAAAGGCGAAAGACGGUCUUGCUGUCACUUAUAGAUGGAUCCGCGCUGCAUUAGCUAGUUGGUAAGGUAACGGCUUACCAAGGCAACGAUGCAUAGCCGACCUGAGAGGGUGAUCGGCCACACUGGAACUGAGACACGGUCCAGACUCCUACGGGAGGCAGCAGUAGGGAAUCUUCCGCAAUGGGCGAAAGCCUGACGGAGCAACGCCGCGUGAGUGAUGAAGGUCUUCGGAUCGUAAAACUCUGUUAUUAGGGAAGAACAUAUGUGUAAGUAACUGUGCACAUCUUGACGGUACCUAAUCAGAAAGCCACGGCUAACUACGUGCCAGCAGCCGCGGUAAUACGUAGGUGGCAAGCGUUAUUCGGAAUUAUUGGGCGUAAAGCGCGCGUAGGCGGUUUUUUAAGUCUGAUGUGAAAGCCCACGGCUCAACCGUGGAGGGUCAUUGGAAACUGGAAAACUUGAGUGCAGAAGAGGAAAGUGGAAUUCCAUGUGUAGCGGUGAAAUGCGUAGAGAUAUGGAGGAACACCAGUGGCGAAGGCGACUUUCUGGUCUGUAACUGACGCUGAUGUGCGAAGGCGUGGGGAUCAAACAGGAUUAGAUACCCUGGUAGUCCAUGCCGUAAACGGUGGGCGCUAGGUGUAGGGGGCUUCCACGUCUUCUGUGCCGUAGCUAACGCAUUAAGCGCCCCGCCUGGGGAGUACGGCCGCAAGGCUAAAACUCAAAGGAAUUGACGGGGGCCCGCACAAGCGGCGGAGCAUGUGGAUUAAUUCGAUGCAACGCGAAGAACCUUACCUGGGCUUGACAUAUACAAGACAGGCGUAGAGAUACGUCCUCCCUUGUGGUUUGUAUACAGGUGGUGCAUGGUUGUCGUCAGCUCGUGUCGUGAGAUGUUGGGUUAAGUCCCGCAACGAGCGCAACCCUUGUCUUAUGUUGCCAGCAUUUGGUUGGGGACUCAUGAGAGACUGCCGGGGUCAACUCGGAGGAAGGUGGGGAUGACGUCAAAUCAUCAUGCCCCUUAUGUCCAGGGCUUCACACAUGCUACAAUGGUCGGUACAACGCGCAGCGACACUGUGAGGUGGAGCGAAUCGCUGAAAGCCGGCCUUAGUUCGGAUUGGGGUCUGCAACUCGACCCCAUGAAGUCGGAGUCGCUAGUAAUCGCAGAUCAGCAACGCUGCGGUGAAUACGUUCCCGGGCCU
rnacentral:rRNA from 1 species